rnacentral:rRNA from 1 species
AUUGAACGCUGGCGGGAUGCCUAACACAUGCAAGUCGAACGAGUGGCGGACGGGUGAGUAAUAUAUCGGAACCUGCCCAAUAGAGGGGGAUAACUACUCGAAACGGUAGCUAAUACCGCAUACCAUCGGAUGUGCCCAUAUGGGAUUAGCUAGUUGGUGGGGUAAAGGCUCACCUAGGCAACGAUCCCUAGCUGGUUUGAGAGGAUGACCAGCCACACGGGGACUGAGACACGGUCCAGACUCCUACGGGAGGCAGCAGUGGGGAAUAUUGGACAAUGGGCGCAACCCUGAUCCAGCCAUCCCGCGUGUAUGAAGAAGGCCUUCGGGUUGUAAAGUACUUUUAGCGGGGAGGCGGUAUCUGCAGAAUAAGCACCGGCUAACUCCGUGCCAGCAGCCGCGGUAAUAC